CACUCGGUAUCAUGUUUCAACACACUUUAGGUCAAUAUCACACCGGAAUUCUCCUUUAAGAAAAGGCGAAAACUCAUCAGGUGCCAGGAUAACUUGGAGGUAGCACUACAAGCUAACAGUCAGUGCAGCACGAACAGGAAGAGUCUCAUUACAGUGCAUGCACCCACUUCCACUCUGACACAACUCCGGAAGUUUCGUUCUUGGAUGAGCGACACACAUCCACAACCCAUGAGCAUGAUUGCAGUGGGGACACCUCUUCUGACACAACUAUCAAGACAGCAACCAAGUGUUCGAUACAGACCCAGUGGGAAGACCCUGCCUUACUGCAUCAUGGUUAUGUGAAGCUGGCCACCAACACUAAAGAAGUCCGUCAUCAAGCAACACAGUGCAGUGUGGAGCAUAAUAUUCUUCUCAAUUAUUCAGACUCAUUACUGUACACUGGCAUUCCACUUCAAACAUUCAAUACUCUUGUUUCAGUGCUUGAACAGUUUGCGGGGUCUUUUAAAAUGUCUGUAAGAGACCAAGUCCUCCUAACAUUAAUGAAAUUAAGAUUGAACCUCAUGAUUGGUGAUCUGAGCAGACGGUUCUUCAUAUCAGAGAGCUUGUCAAGUAAGAUUAUAUCUUACUGGAUCGACAAAUUGGAGGAAGUUACAAGAAAC